AUCUCUGGAUUUCCAAAUCCUCUUUUGGGGGUUCAGUUCUGUGGUCUAUUCUCCCUUCCAUUAAGGAGGUACAAGACAUUGCUAGGACUGUAGAUGGGCUCCAUCCCACCUGCCUGGCCAAGGCCAAGUGAGGUUCUCCACGGUAGGAGAAAUUGCUCAAGACAUUCUUCUCCAUGCUUUGCCCUUGAAAUCUGAAGGAAAUGGUAGAUAUGGAUCCAGAUUGUGGACAACACUAUAGAAAAGAUCAGGCCAGAGGUAUAAAUAUACCAGGAACACAGUCAGGGCUUCACAGGCUAAUAGGGGUCUGAGGUAUAAGGGUUGGGUAGGAAAUUCAUGAGAAAUGCAACCUCAAGUCCUUGAAUGCUUUGGGAGUCAUCACUCCGUCCCAGGUGAUAGGGUCGUGCCAGGCUUCCUUGACUUUUCUUGGGUCCUUGCCAGAGUUCACAUUCCAUUAUCUCAGUCUGUUUAAAUCACCCUUACUAACCUGCCCAAGGGAUGACAGCAGCAGAACUAAUACACCUUUCAGUCUCAACACUUUUCAUUGCCUCCUUUCCUAACCCUUUUCCUCUUCUCUCUUGCCACUCGUGCUACUUGAUUGACAGCAGGAUAGUGAAUUCUGACCUAGAUGACCAUGGCCAAAGAGUCUCGUGGCUGGCUUCUGUGCCAGAGUCUCAGGAAGAGCAGGUCUGCAAUUUGGGUGAGUGCCCAAGGAGGACAGAGGAAGGUUAGAGGCAAAGUUCCCUGCCUCCCCAGGAGGGGAAGGAUGACAGGUGGGAGCAGGACUCUUACGAAACUCUUUCAAGUAGUAAAACUGUCCUUUUUGGCUCUAGUUACAUGCAAAGAGCUACCACAGGAUGACAAAGAAGAAAAUGAUGGAGUUGAUCAAAGGGAUUCUGAGAAGCCACAAAAGGCAGAAAGAUCAGAGGAGCACAGCCAGCCCCUAGCCUGCCUUCUGGCCUCUGAAUGGGAGACUUUGGAGACAAAAGAGAAGUCAGAGAAGAUGACAGCUCCUCCCUGGAAUGGCAGUGGAUCGAAAGACCAAAGCAAGUUGUCUGAUUCACAAAAAGAUGACAUGAUGACAAGGAGGACUGGGACGUCCCCUAGACACCCUGGAUCCAACCCAAACCAGUUCCUUCCAAUUCCAUUUGCAAAGAAACAGGAUGUGGAAGAACCUGCAAAGGGUCUACUCCUGAAUGAUCCAAGGUCAGCAGGUUCUCCUGUGCCCUUGUGACUUCGAUUCUCCAGUGUGAGCCUUGGUACAUGCUUUAGCUGUUUUAUUAACGCCUUGUGGUGCAUCAAAGCCACUUACAUGCUAUUGCCAGAAGAGGUGGAAUGAUUCAAAUUGGUCCUGUCUACCAAGAAUUGUUUGUCUUUUUUUUUUUGCAUGUGUGCAGAUGUGUGGAAAGAAUAGCUGAGUAGUGACUUUACCUGUUAAACAUGCUUCCUGAUUUUCAUUAGAUGGGCAGAAUAAACAGAGGAGUCUUCAGGUAAAGGGGCUGAAGCUCUUUCCAUCCUACUUGAUUUGACUCGGACUGUAGGCCAAAGAAGAUGAAUACCACUUAUAAAAUUUGUAAUUUAAUUUUUUUUAACAUUAGCAAACAUUCAUUGCCUUCUAGAGGUUGGAUUUCUAUUCCAUGCUCUAAUUUUAUUUAAGAAGAUGAGUAGGGAAAUAAUAAUCCUGGAAUUCAAGGUCCUAUAUAUUGAAUCCUCUGUUGCCAUUUAAUAAGAAUGAUGUAUUUUUUGUUGUGAUCUCCCUGACCAGUAUAUGGUAAAGGAGUGGAGAGUGUUUUGCACAAGUAUAAAACAAG
rnacentral:lncRNA from 1 species